rnacentral:rRNA from 1 species
UACGUAGGUGGCGAGCGUUGUCCGGAAUUAUUGGGCGUAAAGCGCGCGCAGGCGGCUGUUUAAGUCUGGUGUUUAAUCCCGGGGCUCAACCCCGGGUCGCACUGGAAACUGGACGGCUUGAGUGCAGAAGAGGAGAGUGGAAUUCCACGUGUAGCGGUGAAAUGCGUAGAGAUGUGGAGGAACACCGGUGGCGAAGGCGGCUCACUGGCCCGUAACUGACGCUCAGGCGCGAUAGCGUGGGGAUCAAACAGG